AGAGCACCCCAUUGGCUACCCAC
rnacentral:piRNA from 1 species